UUUACAGUUUGGGUUUAGGGUGUAGGACUUGGGUUUAGGGUAUAGAGUUUAGGUUUAUAGUCUAGUUUUUGGGUUUAGGGUAUAUAAUUUGGGUUUAAGGUGUAGGAUUAGGGUUUAGGGUAUAGGGUUUGGGUUUAGGGGUUUGGAUUUGAGUUUAGAAUUUAGGGUAUAGGGUUUAGAAUUUAAGAUUUAGGAUUUAGGGUUUAGCUGGAAGCGUUAGCGUCGUUUAAAUUAUCAUUUUUAUUUUUUGUAGCUAUUUUUUAUUU
rnacentral:lncRNA from 1 species